GGGGCCUUCAAUAAACAAAGGCUCUGGUAGGAAGGAAAACGGGGAAUCAGCAGAGGGCUGGUAGAUUGCAGCAGAGCAGGGACAGUCGCGAGAUGAAGACCUGGGCCCAGGGACCCCUGGUUCUCUUCUCCAACAACCCUUGGUCCCUUUUUUAUGAAGCAAGGUUUCAGAGGCCACUCUCUGGCCUGGGUGACUUGGGUACCUCUGGAACUUUCCAGGUAGCCGCGAAGGCAGGUUUUGCACUUGUAUCUGGGGGAAAAUCGGAGGUGCUGAAAGCAGUGGAGAUGAAGGGUACCAGAGACCGUCUUGCCAAGUCCUUUCCCAGGCUUUCUGACUCUCUAAGAAUGAGGAGAAUGCCUUGUUCUGUUUCCUGCCAUCAGUGGAGCCCUGGCUCGGGAGGAGGGAGAGUGCGCAUUCUGAGAAAACAAACGCACAGGAGAGAAGGACCAGAAGGAGGAAGUGCCAGCUAGGAAACCCCAGUCCUUCAGGGAUCCGCUGCACAGUUCACGAGCGAACUGCUUCUCGCAGGAAAUUGCCGGAGAAAACUGAAUCCAGGAAAGCAGAAUUUGUGCUCAUAAUAACCUCUACUCUGCGCCUCUGGUUCCUGUGUUGAGAUUGCUUGGGCGCUCAUUUAUUCAGUACUGAUGACACACAUGUACCUAAUGGCCUUCAGAACAUUCUUUUGCUCUAGGUGAAGUCAGCUGCCAUGGAAGAAAUCUAUCCUGAGACCACUAUAUACAAAGUAUAUCUGCUAGAUCUCUGCUGUUCCAGCCAUCCCCUCCCAGCUACCAUGAUCAGCCAGCAAGAAACCAUUUUGGAACUUCUCAUCCCAAAAAAUACCCCUUGCAGAAGAAUGAAGACCCCAGACAUGUGGGCCACCCCAGAUGGUGCUGAGAAUCGAACCCAUUGCCUCAUGCAUGCCAGGCAAGUGCGCUACCACUGAGCCACAACCCCAGCCCUCAAAUGCUAUUUUAGACUAUUGUUCAUCUGAUACUUGCAAACUUACUAAAAACGCUAAAAUAAGUUGCUAUAGUUGGUAAUUUACUUAGAAGGAAAUGUUAUCCUAUGAGCACUUAAAUUCAACCUUCUUAAAAUGUCUUUAUACAAAAAUGACAGUUAAUUUUGCCAUAUAAGACUCUGGGCUCUAUAACGAGUAUCUUCCUUGAAUCUUUUUUUUUUAAUUUUUUUUUAGUACAAUUAUUUUAAACAUCGCCAAUUUCUGUGACACUUACUUGAUGAUAGAAAUUUUAAUAUUUUGAUAGGUUAAUUGGUAUUGUUUGUUGACCAGCAUGUUCUAUUUAGAGUGCUGCUUUGCUAUGUGCUAACACAUAAGUCUUUGGUGGCAAGUGGUUGCUGGGUUUCCUCAUGCCUAUACAUUCCAGACAUUGUUCUCAGUACAUGGAGUAAGAUGUUAUACUAAUAUAUUUUGAUGAUAUUUAACUAUCAUUAUACUACAGUGUAGAGGUAGAUUAAUUUCAUUAAAGUUGUCUGUAAUGGAAGAUAUCUAGGCAUAAAAUCCCAACCAAAAUUUAUAGAGAUGUACCAACACUUAUAUGUGAUCCUCCCAACACAAAUAACAAAAUCUGAGGAUGCUGAAAUUCCUAACAUAAAAUGGAAUAGUAUUUGCAUGUAACCUACAUAUAUACUCCUAUAUAUAUUAAAUCAUCUAUAAGUUACUUAUAAUGCCUAAUACAGGAUAGAUCCUAUGUAAAUAGUUAUUAUACUGUAUUGUUUAGGGAAUGACAGCAAGAAAAAAGUCCAUACAUAUUCCAUACAGAAAUAAUUUUUUUCUGAGUAUUUUAAAUCUACAAUUCGUUGAAUCUGCAGAUGCAGAACCUUUGAAUACAAAUGAUCUAUGGUUCUUAGUUGGCAGGUCAGUGAUUCAAAACUUGCAGAAUUAAAAACCUUAAACCUUUCAGUUUCGUCCAUCAUCUACAUCUUUCUAUGCCAGUUUCCAAGAUCAUCAAUAUAAUCUUUGGGAAUUGCUAAGAAAACAAAUAAUGAAAAAUACCAGUUUCAAAAACAAAGUUAAGCCAGUAAAAUAAGAAAGAAAUUGUCUUUGGAGUCAAAUUUGAAGACUCCUUGCAAUUAAGUCUUAUUCUUAACAUCCUUGAUUUUUUUGCCUCCUGCUAAAUUGUCUUCAAAAGUCAACAAAGAAUCUCUGAACAAUAACUUUACAUUCUACAUAUCCUUCCAAACAAUUCCUGAAGCAGUAUCUUUGUUUAGUUUCCACAUGGGCAGUUUGGGGUGGUUGCAUUUCCUUUUUGGAGCACUGAGCUGGAGGAAGGACAUGUGAGGAAGAGGAGGGAAAGACUUAUAGUCAAGAAAGUGUCAUAACCUAUUUAAAAAGUGUCAGUCACUGACCACAGAGAAAGCAAAAUACUGAAAGAAUGUGUAAUGCUAAAGGUCUUGCCCCUCACUUAAAUAUGUUUUCCACACAUUAUUACAUCAUUACUAAGCAUAAUAUAAACUCAAGGCAAACACUAAUUCAGCUGUCUUGACAUUAUCUUUAAACUGAAUCCUUCAGAUUUAAAUAGUUAACUAUGAAAAAUGAUUUUACUUCUUUUUCCUCCUUGUAUUUCUAAGGAUAUACCAUACCACUCAGUUCUGUAUUUUUCAUUUAAAGCUCCAAGGAAACAAGAUGAUUAUAUAGAACACUCAUAUUUUGAUAGAAGAUGGUUGUUAUGUUUGUGAUGUGGAGUUAGAACCUUUAAUUACACCCAAUUAUAUAAAGUGUUACACGUUUUAUUUUUGAACAUUAAAAUUCAAAUCCCAACAAAUGAGAAUAAAAGGUGUUUUGUUCACAUUUCCAUUACAAGUUUAUAAAGUAUUGUACUUUUUUCCCCCCUAGGAUGAAACACAAUUUAUAUACCGCAAUUGAGUUUUCCCCGAGAGCUUUCUUGAAAACUUUACUCAUAAAUUCAAACUACUCAAAUCGUAGUUGAUGCUUCCAAGAUUCAAAAUAUUCUUAGAAAAUCUUAAAAGAAAUCUUUACUAUGAGCUGGGAUUAUAACUC